AACGAACGCUGGCGGCAUGCCUAACACAUGCAAGUCGAACGAGACCUUCGGGUCUAGUGGCGCACGGGUGCGUAACGCGUGGGAACCUGCCCUUAGGUUCGGAAUAACUCCCCGAAAGGGGUGCUAAUACCGGAUAAUGUCUUCGGACCAAAGAUUUAUCGCCUUUGGAUGGGCCCGCGUUGGAUUAGCUAGUUGGUAGGGUAAAAGCCUACCAAGGCGACGAUCCAUAGCUGGUCUGAGAGGAUGAUCAGCCACACUGGGACUGAGACACGGCCCAGACUCGGGCGGGAGGCAGCAGGGGGAAGUACUGGACAAGGGACGGAGGCGUAAGCCAGCAAUGGCGCGUGGUGGUAGGAGUCCUGAGGGAUGCAACUCUCGUUUCCCGGGAAAAUGAAUGACGAGGCGGGGAGAAUACGCUCCGACGAAGCCCGGGCAAGCUGCAGGUAUAAUGGGAAGAGCACCCGUCUGAAC
rnacentral:rRNA from 1 species